GGUAAGACUAAACUCUAAAUUGUACAUCAUUUAUGGUAUAUCAAUUAACCUUGUGAGAUUUUGAGCCUUAUAUGGAUAACAUGCAAAAAUCCAUAUCUUUCAUUCUUGUGUGAUUCACUCAUAUCUGUUAGUCUCUAGAACUUGAAUUGACUCUUGUUGAUGUUGUUGUUUACUUGCGCACACUGACAUGAUAAAGGCAAUUUUUUUUUUGUUUUUUUAGCCAGUUAGCCAAAAAGCCAACCCUGAAAUAAUAUCAUCAAUUGUUUGAAAUCCCCUUGAGCCUAUUAUCCCUUUUUUGUUUAAAACUCAUUACAAAUCGAGAAGUGAAAAAUAAUGUUAUCACCAUAUUCAAAGGGUUGAAAAAGUCUUGUUUGGAGUUGUGUGGGGUUGAAUAAUUAUGUUUGCAAUAUUUCAGAAGUUGGUAGAAAAAGAAAAGAAAAAUGGAAAAAGAAAAUAGAGAAGAAAAAAAAUGAAAAAAAAAUAGAAGGAUGUAUACAUGUCAAUACAUACUCCUUAUGAAAAAGAAAAGAAAAAAAAGAAAAAAAAGAAAAAAAAUAGAAAGGAGAAAAAAAAUAUGAAUGAAAAUAGUUACUAUAGAGUUGUUAAAGUGAACGAAAUAUUUUUUAAAUUCAACUCCCGCAGUUUCUUUCAAGUUUCUUUUGUCUCUUUGAAUUUUAGCCUAGUAC
rnacentral:lncRNA from 1 species